rnacentral:rRNA from 1 species
UUUUUCGCAAUGGGGGAAACCCUGACGAAGCAACGCCGCGUGGAGGAUGAAGGCCUUCGGGUCGUAAACUCCUGUCGACCGGGACGAACGUAGUCUGGCACAAUACGCCGGGCUAUCGACUGUACCGGUGGAGGAAGCCACGGCUAACUCUGUGCCAGCAGCCGCGGUAAUACGGAGGGUGCGAGCGUUGUCCGGAAUCACUGGGCGUAAAGGGCGCGUAGGUGGCCCCGCAAGCGUGUGGUGAAAGCCCGGGGCUCAACCCCGGGUCGGCCGUGCGGACUGCGGGGCUCGAGCACUGUAGGGGCGGGUGGAAUUCCGGGUGUAGCGGUGGAAUGCGUAGAGAUCCGGAAGAACACCGGUGGCGAAGGCGGCCCGCUGGGCAGGAAGGCUCGCAAGAGCCGGCUGACACUGAGGCGCGACAGCGUGGGGAGCAAAC